rnacentral:sRNA from 1 species
UAAUGAACACAUAAAAAGGAAGCCCCGCGUGAACAGGACUUCCCGUGUAGAGCCGCUUAAGACGGUGGCCAAGUUUAAUGAUAGAUUAAAUA